CAAAUUACUUUGUUUUAUUCUUUUUUUCCCAUCUUCUUCAUUACCUUCGGAGAACACCAAUGAUCCAUGAUCUCCGAUGCCAUACGCGCGACCUAGUUCACCGUCACCGCCGUAUCUCUUCAGAUACUUCUUGAUCGGUGUCGGAUUCACCGCUAGAUAGUGCGACUAGCUCCUUCAACCUCCUCAACACCUAUGCGCAUGAGACCCUCACUGCCCUCACCGGCCUUUCCCAGUCUUCAGGUCUUUGCAUCCUAAAUGUGGAGUCGAAGCUUCUUAUGUUGGCAGUUUCAUUCAUCUGCAUUUUAGACUAACAGAGGUGGUUGCUGUCAACUUAUGAGAUAGAUGCUCACAUUGGCAGUAGAGCGCACCCUUGCAAUGAUCAACCCAACAUUAUCGUGUAAUUUGAGUAGGGAGAUGUAAAAAGGGAGAUCAAUUAGUCCUUGCCAAUGGUGGAUCGCCAGUCGCUUGCACACCCAUGGCCAGCAAACCAAAAGCGUCCAUUAUGGGGUUAUAAGAUUGUCGGGACAUUCUAUCAUUUAGUUGUGGGGAGUAGCCCAUCACGGUCUUGGUCUAUUUAUAGUUACAUAUGGGGUCAUCCUUGUAUGUAUGUUACCGGAAGGAACAGUAUGGGGUUAUAUUAUAUAGUUGCCUAGAUAGACAGCAUAUAGGCUGGAGUUCCUAACUGAGUUUUCACUGAUUCAGAUAGGAUCUCAAUGUCGGUUUGUACAAUUUUAAGUUUCUUUGUAUACAAGUUUUGCUUUCUCUGGCAAUAACAUAUUUGAUUGUUGCCA